rnacentral:lncRNA from 1 species
ACUUAGAAAUUAACACCUCAAAGGAACACAAAAAGAACCAUGCAAAUAUAACAUACUUGCAGGUUCUUGGAUGCCAUUUCGCAUUAGAAUCACAUCAUGCAGAAAUGCACCUUAUGUGAUCCUCAUCUUAUUUUGAGCUAUUUUCUGCUAUCCGAAAUAAAAAUUGUGGAACAUUCUAAUCGAAAUCAUUUGGCAAUACAUGCAAUCUUCUUCUUUACGUAAAUCUCUGCAGCGUUGGAGACCAUUCAGCUAGCUGUGUUCCCUCAAAGGAUCAUGUUAAAUGAAAAUGAAUGAAAUUUCACUUUUAAAAGUAACAAACAUAUAUCUCUAUGUAUUACGGGUAUGGUUGCUCAAUUUGCAAUGAUUAGUUUUAUUA